ACGGGGUUCUGAGUUUUCAACUCAGACAACUUGCUAAAAUCUUUUCCUUCUUAGAAAUCCUCCCCCUCUUUCCUCUUUAACCACGAACUUGUUGAAGACGCACCAAGCAGUUAAUUCCAUCUCUUAAUCAAGGGGAACUGAAAAGGCUAUAGGCACUGCACUACCUUCUCAAAUUAAACAAUAACAAUAAUAAUUGCUUCCCCAAUCAUCAUCUCUACCUGCUGAUUAUUUAGUGUAUCAUGUUUACCGGAGGAGAAAUGAUAAGCAGAUUAUCUUUUAUUUCAUAUUUCUACGAAGUUUAUUCAGCUGUCAGAGGUUAUCAGUACGUGUAAAACAACUUCUUAAAAAGAUUGUUUACGAUACGAUAGAAAUCAUAUUUCUGCUUUAUUACUUUCAGCGUGUCACUUUACCUAUCUUCCAACAUCCCCAGCCUCAACAGCUUCACCACUUCACCACGUAAUCAUAAUUCCAGAGACGAGCGUUCGAAUCCUCAGCGACGCCACCACUGGCCGCGAAAAACAACACGAGCAUCGCUAACAACGCAUGCGCAGACAGAAUAACGGUUUAACUGGAACUGGAUUCUUGCGAGUUUGGAAUAAGAGCUGAGGUUAGAGUUCAUCAGCGGUAGUGAUAGGAAGAGGAGGUGAAGAGAGGAAGGAAGAGGAAGAAGUAGAAAGACGUGAAUCUAAAGCAAGCAGUCAAGUACUAAAGUGAUUCUCUCAUCGUAUUGAGUUAUAAAUUUUUCUUCGACAGCUUAAUGAAAUUCUGGAUUCUGUACACUGUAUAAGAAAACAACAAAUGAAGUGCUGAAACAUUGCAGGUUACAUAAUCCAAUAUUGUAUGAAAUAACUUGACUGCCCCAGAUAACAUUGAGGAAUUACCAGCACCAUUGUAAGAAAAUCACGACCUGAUUGCAGAUAGCCACAAAGUG